AGUGAACGCUGGCGGUAGGCCUAACACAUGCAAGUCGAACGGCAGCACAGUAAGAGCUUGCUCUUUCGGGUGGCGAGUGGCGGACGGGUGAUGAAUACAUCGGAAUCUACUUUUUCGUGGGGGAUAACGUAGGGAAACUUACGCUAAUACCGCAUACGACCUACGGGUGAAAGCAUGGGAUCUUCGGACCUUGCGCGAUUGAAUGAGCCGAUGUCGGAUUAGCUAGUUGGCGGGGUAAAGGCCCACCAAGGCGACGAUCCGUAGCUGGUCUGAGAGGAUGAUCAGCCACACUGGAACUGAGACACGGUCCAGACUCCUACGGGAGGCAGCAGUGGGGAAUAUUGGACAAUGGGCGAAAGCCUGAUCCAGCCAUACCGCGUGGGUGAAGAAGGCCUUCGGGUUGUAAAGCCCUUUUGUUGGGAAAGAAAAGCAGCAGGUUAAUACCCCGCUGUUCUGACGGUACCAAAAGAAUAAGCACCGGCUAACUUCGUG
rnacentral:rRNA from 1 species